ACGGAAGGCAGCAGUGGGGAAUAUUGGGCAAUGGGCGAAAGCCUGACCCAGCAACGCCGCGUGAAGGAAGAAGGUCUUCGGAUUGUAAACUUCUUUUAUGAGGGACGAAGAAUGACGGUACCAUAGGAGGAAGUCACGACUAACUACGUACCAGCAGUCGCGGUAAUACGUAGGUGACAAGCGUUAUCCGGAAUUAUUGGGUGUAAAGGGUGCGUAGGCGGGCUGUAAAGUCAGAUGUGAAAUACCGGGGCUCAACCCCGGAGCUGCAUUUGAAACUUACGGUCUUGAGUGAAGUAGAGGUAAGCGGAAUUCCCAGUGUAGCGGUGAAAUGCGUAGAUAUUGGGAGGAACACCAGUGGCGAAGGCGGCUUACUGGGCUUUUACUGACGCUGAGGCACGAAAGUGUGGGGAGCAAACAGGAUUAGAUACCCUGGUA
rnacentral:rRNA from 1 species